rnacentral:rRNA from 1 species
UACGUAGGGUGUGAGCGUUGUCCGGAAUUAUUGGGCGUAAAGAGCUUGUAGGCGGUUUGUCGCGUCUGGCUGUGAAAAUCCGGGGCUCAACCCCGGACUUGCAGUGGGUACGGGCAGACUAGAGUGUGGUAGGGGAGACUGGAAUUCCUGGUGUAGCGGUGAAAUGCGCAGAUAUCAGGAGGAACACCGAUGGCGAAGGCAGGUCUCUGGG